GCGCUGACCCGGGCAGUUAGGGCGUGUGUCUCUGUACCAGCUCACAGCAGCUGAGCCCCCCACCUCUUGGACAGCGGGGAGCUCGGGUCCCCACCUCAUUGCCCCCAGUGUUCCAAGCUCCCAUGACGACGUUGGCCAGUUCCAUAGAGCAAUCCGUGUGGUUGGUCACCUGCUGUGGUGACCUCACAGGUCCACGGCCCAGCACAUGGGCUCCUCUGCUCCUCAGCCCUGCCCUUUGUCAGGCACUAGUGGAUCCAGUGUGCUCACCUUCAAGCCAUUCAGUGGAGAGCCCAGCCCCUGCAGGCUGCAGGCCAUGAGAUCUGGGUGUGGGUGUGCAGAGGCGUUGUUCUGACACAGUCUGCCAUGGUGCUGGGCUCUGGAGUAGCAUUCCGGAGUGUCCCGCUGGGGCGCCCUGAGACUGUGGAGGCCCUGGUGUGUCCGCUGGUGCACAUCACUGAACAGGAACCCAGGCAUGGCUAAGUCGCCACCGUGGUGCCCGCAGAUCCACCUGAGGUGCAAAGCUUGUAACCACUAAGCAACAUCGUCUCAUGGCAGCAAGAGGACUUGGAGAUGAGUUCACAGAUGAGCAAGCAUGGGGCCUGGGCCGGUUCGAGGCCAGAGUGGGCAGCGGAGGAAAGAGUGAAGUGAAGAGCUGCUGGGUGUGGGGAGGAGAGAGCAAUGUGCGCAUGUGCUAGGGAGAGAGCGUGAGCAGGAGCAGAAGUGCGGCUGAGUCCACACGCAGGGGCUGUGUCCUGAGUCCCUGCAGGGAGGUUUUCCUGAAGGGCUGGGUGCACUUGGGGCCCUGUCAGCCCUCUGGCCACCCCACCCAGCCAGGGCUGCUCAUGCUGCCGCAGGUCGCUUUCCAGCUCACGGAGCUGCAAAUCCAAUUUCCCAAAAUAGCUCCCGAUGUAACACACGGCACUCCACAUACUGCAAGGAGCACUUCAGAGGCUCAUUAUAAUCAGCAGACGGAUCUUGACACAGGCUGUUGUCUCCUCUCACAGCUCCUGACUUUCAACAGGCCCUUGGCUUCCUCCUUCCCCGAGUCUCCGCCUCAGCAGGAGGCUGAGCUGGAGAAGAUGCAUGCAGGCUGUGUGGCGAGCUGGGAUCUGCUGCCCCAGCAACUCCACCCCAUGCCCUCUGCCUCCCGCUUCUGCAGGGCUCGCCACGCCACACCUUCCAUGAGGAGCCUGAGCCUUUCAAAGUCCUUUGUGUCCUUUGAAUGCAUCUUGCUCCUUCAGCAUCCUCACUUCCCCUUCACCCCCAGUGCUGGAUCAGCCACCAGGCUCCAGUAGCACUGUACCCGCUUUCUCACCCCACUUGACACCCACGUUUCCAGCCUUGACUCCAGGAUCUGCCCAGUGCUCCACACCAGCCGGUGCUGGGUCUGCACAUGCCCUUUGUACUUCUGUGAAACCAGGCCCUGCCUUUCCUGCUAAGUUCUGAACUCCUUAAAGGCUUAUUUACAUUUGUAUUCUAGUUCAUUGAUUGCUGUUGAGUAUGUACAUUACAAGCUACAAUUACUGAUCAUUUUAUCACAAUUGUUGCCUUUUUUUUUCUAGUGGAACCACCAGUUCUGAAGGGAUAAGCUUGGUCUCCUCUGAGCUUCUGCAUCAGUUCAACCCUGUUUCAUGUCUCCUUUCUGCCGUUAAGAACAGAGGGACUUCAACUGAGUUUAACUCCCAGUUCAGACACUGCAUGCUGUAUGAUGGGGUGGUUGGUUGACCCCUCUGCACCUUGGUUUUCUCCUCUGGAAAGCAGGAAUAAUGGUAUUUGUCAUAUGAUAGCAGUGCCCAAAUUUAGUACAAAAUAAAGUACCUGGGA